GACGAGCCACACAAACGUUAUUCGGAAUUACUGGGCUUAAAGGGUGCGUAGGCGGCGCGGAAAGUUGGGUGUGAAAGCCCUCGGCUCAACCGAGGAAUGGCGCCCAAAACUACCGUGCUGGAGGAAGACAGAGGUGAGCGGAACUCAGGGUGGAGCGGUGAAAUGCGUUGAUAUCCUGAGGAACACCGGUGGCGAAAGCGGCUCACUGGGUCUUUUCUGACGCUGAUGCACGAAAGCUAGGGUAGCGAACGGG
rnacentral:rRNA from 1 species